CUCCCCGGAAUGAACAGGGACAACCACAGCUAGAUCAGGUUGCUCAGAGCUUGGCCCAGCCUGAUCUUGAGCAUCUCUAGGGAUAGGGCUUCCACCACAUCUCUGGUUUGAAGAGAAGGAUGUUGUGGGGUGCCAUUUCAAAAGUGUCACUGAAGCCCAGACAGAUGACAUCAGUGGCUCUCGUUCAGUGAUGCAGUUACAACAUCACAGAAGGCCACUGGGCUGGUCAAGCAGGACUUGCCCUUGAUGAAGCCAUGCUGGUUCUCCUCUGUCACCUUCCUGUCUUCCAUGUGUGUUAGCAGAAGAUCUACUCCAUGAUCUAUCCCAGCACAGAAGUGAGACUGACAGAACAGCCAGUGAACUGAGGGAAGACCCACAGUCAUCAAGUUGCAGAAGGCAUCUUUGGAAGUUGUCACAUCCAAUCGCCUGCUCAGACAAGGGUAAGCUGGGGCAGAAAAUGAGCAGGGGAGGGAGUAAUUGUACUCAGGUGUCCCAACUUGAUGCUUUGAUGACAAGACCAUGU